UACAGAGGGUGCGAGCGUUAAUCGGAUUUACUGGGCGUAAAGCGUGUGUAGGUGGCUUCCUAAGUCGGUUGUGAAAUCCCCAGGCUUAACCUGGGAACUGCAUCCGAUACUGGAUGGCUUGAAUUCGGGAGAGGGAUGCAGAAUUCCAGGUGUAGCGGUGAAAUGCGUAGAUAUCUGGAGGAAUACCGGUGGCGAAGGCGGCAUCCUGGACCGACAUUGACGCUGAACGGCGAAAGCUAGGGGAGCAAACGGG
rnacentral:rRNA from 1 species